rnacentral:rRNA from 1 species
GGUGAACGCUGGCGGUAGGCCUAACACAUGCAAGUCGAACGGCAGCACAGUAAGAGCUUGCUCUUACGGGUGGCGAGUGGCGGACGAGUGAGGAGUACAUCGGAAUCUUCUUUUUCGUGGAGGAUAACGGAGGGAAACUUACGCUAAUACCGCAUAUGAUCUACGGGUGAAAGCAGGGGAUCUUCGGACCUUGCGCGAUUGAAUGAGCCGAUGUCGGAUUAGCUAGUUGGCGGGGUAAAGGCCCACCAAGCCGAGGAUCCGUAGCUGGUCGGAGAGGAUGAUCGGCAACACUGGAACGGGGACACGGUCCAGACUCCUACGGGAGGCAGCAGAGGGGAAUAUUGGACAAUGGGGGCAAGCCUGAUCCAGCCAUACCGCGUGGGUGAAGAAGGCCUUCGGGUUGUAAAGCCCUUUUGUUGGGAAAGAAAAGCAUCAGGUUAAUACCCCGCUGUUCUGACGGUACCCAAAAAAUAAGCACCGGCUAACUUCGUG